rnacentral:rRNA from 1 species
AGAGCGAACGCUGGCGGCGUGCUUAACACAUGCAAGUCGAACGAGGUUUGUAGCAAUACAAAUACUCGUGGCGAACGGGUGCGUAACACGUGGAUAACCUUCCUUCAGGUGGGGAAUAACCCAGUGAAAAUUGGGCUAAUACCGCAUAACAUGACGAUGGCACAUGCUGUUGUCUUCAAAGCCGCAAGGCGCCAGAAGAGGGAUCCGCGGCCGAUUAGCUUGUUGGCGAGGUAAUGGCUCACCAAGGCUUUGAUCGGUAUCCGGACUGAGAGGUUGGCCGGACACACUGGAACUGAGACACGGUCCAGACUCCUACGGGAGGCAGCAGUGGGGAAUCUUGCACAAUGGACGAAAGUCUGAUGCAGCAACGCCGCGUGGGGGAUGAAGCUUCUCGGAGUGUAAACCCCUUUCGACCUGACGAAUGCCCGCAAGGGUUUGACGGUACAGGUAUAAGAAGCCCCGGCUAACUACGUGCCAGCAGCCGCGGUAAUACGUAGGGGGCCAGCGUUGCUCGGAAUUACUGGGCGUAAAGGGUCCGUAGGCGGUGUGAUAAGUCGAUAGUGAAAUCUCUGGGCUUAACCCAGAGGCUGCUAACGAAACUGCCAUGCUAGAGUGUGAGAGAGGCGAGUGGAAUUACGGGUGUAGCGGUGAAAUGCGUAGAUAUCCGUAGGAACAUCCGAGGCGAAAGCGGCUCGCUGGAUCACAACUGACGCUGAGGGACGAAAGCUAGGGGAGCAAACAGGAUUAGAUACCCUGGUAGUCCUAGCCCUAAACCAUCAUGACCUUGGGGUUUGCCCUGUACGGGGCAAGUCCCGUAGCUAACGCGUUAAGUCAUGCGCCUGGGGAGUACGGUCGCAAGGCUGAA